rnacentral:rRNA from 1 species
AACCUGGUUGAUCCUGCCAGUAGUCAUAUGCUUGUCUCAAAGAUUAAGCCAUGCAUGUCUAAGUAUAAACUGCUUUAUACUGUGAAACUGCGAAUGGCUCAUUAAAUCAGUUAUAGUUUAUUUGAUGGUACUUACUUACUCGGAUACCCGUAGUAAUUCUAGAGCUAAUACGUGCGUACAUCCCGACUUCUGGAAGGGACGUAUUUAUUAGAUAAAAGGCCGACCGGGCUUGCCCGACUCGCGGUGACUCAUGAUAACUUCACGAAUCGCAUGGCCUUGUGCCGGCGAUGUUUCAUUCAAAUUUCUGCCCUAUCAACCUUUUGAUGGUAGGAUAAGAGGCCCUACCCUGGGUGGUAACCGGGUGACGGAAAAUUAAGGGUUCCAUUCCGGAAAAAGGAGCCUGAGAAGCGGGUU